rnacentral:rRNA from 1 species
UACGAAGGGGGCGAGCGUUGUUCGGAUUUACUGGGCGUAAAGGGCGCGCAGGCGGCAGACCAAGUCAGGCGUGAAAGCCCCGGGGCUUAACCCUGGGAGGUGCGUCUGGGACUGGUAUGCUAGAGUUCGGGAGAGGAGAGUGGAAUUCCCAGUGUAGAGGUGAAAUUCGUAGAGUAUUGGGAAGAACACCGGGUGGCGAAGGCGGCUCUCUGGACCGAGACUGACGCUGAGGCG